rnacentral:rRNA from 1 species
UACGUAGGGUGCGAGCGUUAAUCGGAAUUACUGGGCGUAAAGUGUGCGCAGGCGGCCGAGCAAGUCGAGUGUGAAAGCCCCGAGCUUAACUUGGGAACUGCGCUCGAAACUACUUGGCUAGAGUGUGGCAGAGGGAGGUGGAAUUCCACGUAUAGCGGUGAAAUGCGUAGAGAUGUGGAGGAACACCGAUGGCGAAGGCAGCCUCCUGGGCCAACACUGACGCUCAUGCACGAAAGCGUGGGGAGCAAACAGG